GACGAACGCUGGCGGCGUGCUUAACACAUGCAAGUCGAACGGAAAGGCCCUGCUUUUGUGGGGUGCUCGAGUGGCGAACGGGUGAGUAACACGCGAGUAACCUGCCCUUGACUUUGGGAUAACUUCAGGAAACUGGGGCUAAUACCGGAUAGGAGCUCCUGCUGCAUGGUGGGGGUUGGAAAGUUUCGGCGGUUGGGGAUGGACUCGCGGCUUAUCAGCUUGUUGGUGGGGUAGUGGCUUACCAAGGCUUUGACGGGUAGCCGGCCUGAGAGGGUGACCGGCCACAUUGGGACUGAGAUACGGACCAGACUCCUACGGGAGGCAGAAGUGGGGAAUAUUGCACAAUGGGCGGGAGCCUGAUGCAGCAACGCCGCGUGCGGGAUGACGGCCUUCGGGUUGUAAACCGCUUUCGCCUGUGACGAAGCGUGAGUGACGGUAAUGGGUAAAGAAGCACCGGCUAACUACGUG
rnacentral:rRNA from 1 species